rnacentral:rRNA from 1 species
UACGUAGGGGGCAAGCGUUGUCCGGAAUCAUUGGGCGUAAAGCGCGCGUAGGCGGCCCUAUAAGUCCGUUGUGAAAGUCAAAGGCUCAACCUUUGAAAGCCGAUGGAUACUGUAGGGCUAGAGUCCGGAAGAGGCGAGUGGAAUUCCUGGUGUAGCGGUGGAAUGCGCAGAUAUCAGGAGGAACACCGGUGGCGAAGGCGGGUCUCUGGGCCGUAACUGACGCUGAGGAGCGAAAGCGUGGGGAGCGAACAGG